CAAAAUAGCUGUUCUGUAAAAGGGUUGGAUCCGACGCCCCUAGAAGGCUACUAUAGGCUCUCCUUCUCAACUCCUACUCAAUACGUCCACG
rnacentral:ribozyme from 1 species